rnacentral:rRNA from 1 species
GAUGAACGCUGACAGAAUGCUUAACACAUGCAAGUCAAACUUUGGGGGACGGGUGAGUAACGCAUAAGGAACUUACCUCACAGCUAGGGACAACAUUUGGAAACGAAUUCUAAUACCUAAUGCUGUGAGAGAACUUUGCGUCCCAUUAGCUGGUUGGAGAGGUAACGGCUCACCAAGGCGAGGAUGGGUAGCCGGCCUGAGAGGGUGAUCGGCAAAAAGGGGACUGGGACACGGCCCGUACUCCUACGGGAGGAAGGAGUGGGGAAUAUUGGACAAUGGACCAAAGUCUGAUCCCGAAAUUCUGUGUGCAAGAUGAAGUUUUCGGAAUGUAAAGUGCUUUCAGUUGGGAAGCGGUACCAACAGAAGAAGCGACGGCUAAAUACGUGCCAGCCGCCGCGGUAAUUC